GAUGAACGCUAGCGGGAGGCCUAACACAUGCAAGCCGAGCGGUAUUUGUUCUUCGGAACAGAGAGAGCGGCGCACGGGUGCGGAACACGUGUGCAACCUGCCUUUAUCUGGGGGAUAGCCUUUCGAAAGGAAGAUUAAUACCCCAUAAUAUAUUGAGUGGCAUCACUUAAUAUUGAAAACUCCGGUGGAUAGAGAUGGGCACGCGCAAGAUUAGAUAGUUGGUGAGGUAACGGCUCACCAAGUCAAUGAUCUUUAGGGGGCCUGAGAGGGUGAUCCCCCACACUGGUACUGAGACACGGACCAGACUCCUACGGGAGGCAGCAGUGAUGAAUAUUGGACAAUGGGUUAGCGCCUGAUCCAGCCAUCCCGCGUGAAGGACGACGGCCCUAUGGGUUGUAAACUUCUUUUGUAUAGGGAUAAACCUACUCUCGUGAGAGUAGCUGAAGGUACUAUACGAAUAAGCACCGGCUAACUCCGUG
rnacentral:rRNA from 1 species